GAAAAUUUAGUCUUAAACAAAUCUUCGAUACUUCUGAUCUCAAGAUUUUCAGUGGGGAGCAAUACUGGGUGGUUGCUGUUUUUCUAGUGCAUGUCCUGGUGUGGUUCACUGCCUAUAAACUACUUAUUUAACAUGGCUGUGAUGAAUUAUGUUACUGCCACUGCUUCAAACGCCUAACUAAACGUAUUAAAGCUGGGAUUCCCUUUUCAGCAACAGCACUGAAGCCUUAUGCCUACAUCUACAGCUAUUCUUAGGCUUACCUAAAACCCCCAGGAAGUAGAAGCCCUAAAAUAGGCUCAUUGCUUUUUAUUUUUUUUCAACAUGAAAGAAGUUUGGAAUAGAAUUGACUCCUCUGUUGAGCUUUAUGCUUAAUUUCCAACUUUUUAACUCUUUACCACAGUGCUGCUUUUCUUCCUCCACGUCCAGAAGUAAUGGAGGUCAAGUGAAUGGCUUCUACUUCCUUGUUGCAGUGCGGGUUAAUCCUCAGGAGACUGUACUUCAUGAACCAGGAGUUCAGCCUGAGAAGGUUUUGACGUCUUUCACAAAAGGGCAUAGCUGAACAAUAGCGCUUGAGCUAAAAACUAGGUAAGUAAGUGUAUUUCCCUUGCCUAUUUAAAGAUGGUCAUACAGGGCUUGUGCCAAAAAAAAAAAAAAUUAAGAUGUCCUCUACUUUAACCACUGCCAGGCCCAAGGGCUAAGCACAAGAGGU
rnacentral:lncRNA from 1 species